UCCUACGGGGGGCAGCAGUGGGGAAUAUUGGGCAAUGGAGGAAACUCUUACCCAGCAAUGCCGCGUGAAUGAAGAAGGUCUUCGGAUUGUAAAGUUCUUUAAUUGGGGACGAAAAAAAUGACGGUACCCAAGGAAUAAGCCCCGGCUAACUACGUGCCAGCAGCCGCGGUAAUACGUAGGGGGCAAGCGUUAUCCGGAAUUACUGGGUGUAAAGGGUGAGUAGGCGGCAUGGUAAGCCAGAUGUGAAAGCCUUGGGCUUAACCCGAGGAUUGCAUUUGGAACUAUCAAGCUAGAGUACAGGAGAG
rnacentral:rRNA from 1 species